UACGAAGGGGGCUAGCGUUGCUCGGAAUCACUGGGCGUAAAGCGCACGUAGGCGGAUCUUUAAGUCAGGGGUGAAAUCCCAAGGCUCAACCUUGGAACUGCCUUUGAUACUGGGGAUCUCGAGUCCGGAAGAGGUUGGUGGAACUGCGAGUGUAGAGGUGAAAUUCGUAGAUAUUCGCAAGAACACCAGUGGCGAAGGCGGCUCACUGGCUCGGUACUGACGCUCAGGCGCGAAAGCGUGGGGAGCAAACAGG
rnacentral:rRNA from 1 species